GAUUCUGGCUCAGAUUGAACGCUGGCAGGAUACUUUACACAUGCAAGUCGAACGGCAGCACGGACUUCGGUCUGGUGGCGAGUGGCGAACGGGUGAGUAAUGUAUCGGAACGUGCUGAAGUAGCGGGGGAUAACUACGCCGAAAGCGUAGCUAAUACCGCAUACGCGCUCCAGAAAGCGGGGACCUUUGGGACUCACUAUUAGAGCGGCCGAUAUCGGAUUAGCUGGUUGGUGGGGUAACGGCUCGCAAGGCGACGAUCCGUAGCUGGUUUGAGAGGACGACUAGUCACACCAGGACUGAGACACGGCCCAGACUCCUACGGGAGGCAGCAGUGAAUUUUGGACAAUGGGGGAAACCCUGAUCCAGCCAUCCCGCGUGUGCGAUGAAGGCCUUCGGGUUGUAAAGCACUUUUUGGCAGGGAAAAAGAAACGGCGCAGGAUAAUACCCAUUACAGCUGACAGUACCUGCAGAAUAAGCACCGGCCCAACUACGUGCCAGCAGCCGCGGUAAUACGUAGAGGUGCAAGCGUUAAUCGGAAUUACUGGGCGUAAAGCGUGCGCAGGCGGUUCGGAAAGAAAGAUGUGAAAUCCCAGAGCUUAACUUUGGAACUGCAUUUUUUAACUACCGAGCUAGAGUGUGUCAGAGGGAGAGUUAAGAUUCCGCGUGUAGCAGUGAAAUGCGUAUAGAUAUGCGGAGGAACACCGAUGGCGAAGGCAGCCUCCUGGGAUAACGUGACGCUCAUGCGAAAGCGUGGGGAGUAAACAGGUUCAGAUACCUGGUAGUCCGCCUAGGCGUGUCAACCAUGUUGGGGCCUUCGGGCCUUGGUGGCUGUGCGUGAAGUUAAUGCCACAAAGAGGCUGGUCGCAAGAUUAAAACUCAAAGGAAUUGACGGGAACCCCGCACAAUGAUGGAUGAUGUGGAUUAAUUCGAUGCAACGCGAAAAACCUUACCUACCCUUGACAUGUCUGGAAUCCCGAAGAGAUUUGGGAGUGCUCGCAAGAGAACCGGAACACAGGUGCUGCAUGGCUGUCGUCUGGCAUCGUGUCGUGAGAUGUUGGGUUAAGUCCCGCAACGGCGGCGCAACCCUUGUCAUUAGUUGCUACGAAGGGCACUCUAAUGAGACUGCCGGUGACAAACCGGAGGAAGGUGGGGAUGACGUCAGAGUCUCUGGCCCUUAUGGAUGGGCUUGCACGUCAUACAAUGGUCAGGACAGAGGUCGCCAACCCGCGAGGGGGGAGCCAAUCCCGAAACCCGAUCGUAGUCCGGAUCGCAGUCUGCAACUCGACUGCGUGAAGUCAGAAUCUUCAUGUCGCGGAUCAGCAUGUCGCGGUGAAUACGUUCCCGGGUCUUGUACACCGCCCGUCACACCAUGGGAGUGGGUUUUGCAGAAGUAGUUAGCCUAACCGUAAGGAGGGCGAUUACCACGGUAGGAUUCAUGACUGGGGUGAAGUCGUAACAAGGUAA
rnacentral:rRNA from 1 species